AGAUUGAACGCUGGCGGCGUGCUUAACACAUGCAAGUCGAGCGGUAACGCGGGAGCAAUCCUGGCGACGAGCGGCGAACGGGUGAGUAAUGCUUGGGAAUCUGCCCAUUAGUGGGGAACAACCAGCCGAAAGGUUGGCUAAUACCGCAUACGCCCUACGGGGGAAAGCGGGGGAUCGUAAGACCUCGCGCUAAUGGAUGAGCCCAAGUCGGAUUAGCUUGUUGGUAGGGUAACGGCCUACCAAGGCGACGAUCCGUAGCUGGUCUGAGAGGACGACCAGCCACACUGGGACUGAGACACGGCCCAGACUCCUACGGGAGGCAGCAGUGGGGAAUAUUGGACAAUGGGGGCAACCCUGAUCCAGCGACGCCGCGUGUGUGAAGAAGGCCUGCGGGUUGUAAAGCACUUUUAGUGGGGAUGAAAAGCUCAGGGUUAACACCUCUGGGUCUUGACCUAACCCACAGAAAAGCACCGGCUAACUCUGUGCCAGCAGCCGC
rnacentral:rRNA from 1 species